CCCUUAGAUGUUCUGGGCUGCACGCGCGCUACACUGAAGCUAUCAACACGUUUUCCCUCCCUGAGAAGGGCGGGUAACCUUUUGAAUCAGCUUCGUGGUAGGGAUCGGGGCUUGCAAUUGUUCCCCGUGAACCAGGAAUUCCUAGUAGACGCGAGUCAUAAGCUCGCAUCGAUUAAGUCCCUGCCCUUUGUACACACCGCCCGUCGCUACUACCGAUUGAACGUUUUAGUGAGGCAUUUGGACCGACGCAUCUCAGUUUAACCGCUGGUUUGUGUUGGAAAGACUUCCAAACCUGAGCGUUUAGAGGAAGUAAAAGUCGUAACA
rnacentral:rRNA from 1 species